GCCCAUUGGUCUCCAUUCCCCUUUACCGUCCUUAAAGCUGCCACAAAUCUCACAGCAGAGGCAGAACGUCUCUCACAGUCAAUUUUAUAGAUCACUGUGGGAGAACGGAAUAUAGUAAGGAAAGGCCCGAGAAACAAAUAAUUAGUUUUCACUGUGACUGCCUGUGGAGGAUGGCCUGUGUGCCAGGCAGCCAGUGCUUGAGAAUUCAUCACUGGAGGGAGUGUACGUGCAGAACAUCAGUUCAGUGGGAUGCUGGCUCCUCUCGACCAAUAGGAAUUGGUCCAUGGACCAGAACGUUGAUCUUUGCCUUCUCUGAUGCAAAAUAUGACGUUGCAAAGACGGAGCCAGUGGAGUCACAUGCUCACGCUGAGAGAGGAGCUGCCAGUGAGCUUUCAGUGUUUUCCCAGGCUGACCGGUCAUCCCAGGCAACAUCCCUUGGCAUGUGAAUGUGUACAGUGGGUGUGAGAUUGUGUUCCAAUCCCAGCAGUUUCUCUAGCCCAAGCUCAACUUUUUCCAAGCUGAGGGAAGAUGCUGUGAAGUCCUGUAAAAACACAAAGCAAGAUCAGAGGUCACAUGAUGAGAUGCCAGUUCUCUUUUAACUCCAAUGAAGAGGAAAAGAAGGCUUAUAGGGACAUCACUAGGAGGCCCUGGGCUGCGUGCUGCCAUACACGUCCACCAAAAUGUAUGUAUACACAGAGAAGGAUUGAGGGAGAAAAAGAACUGUAGCUAGCCUUAUUGCUGGAUAUUGCAGAUUCCUUACAACUUUGUGUCUCUUUCAGUAUCCAGCAGGAAGGAGGCAAAAUGGGAAGUUCUGUAAGAUCCCAAAUAGGGAAAUAAAUGCUAGUUGUGGGAUAUUUAUUGGGUUUUGCUGUUCCAUAGAAUACAUAUCUAUACCAGAGCUUUCCAGACAUUCCAUGUUGGUGGCAUACUUAUUAGACAUACAUCAUUUCACGACAAUGUUUUACUAGCAAACUAGAGGUUGAACCAACUUGUUAUAAGACAUAUAGACAAAUACAUAAACUGUAAUAAGGGGGGCACAACAUAUCUAUUUUUUUGUGUGGGUCAGGAGCGACUUGAGAAACUGCAAGUCGCUGCUGGUGUGAGAGAAUUGGCCAUGUGUAAGGAUGUUGCCCAGGGGACGCCUGGAUGUUUUGAUGUUUUACCAUCCUUGUGGGAGGCUUCUCUCAUGUCCCCGCAUGGGGAGCUGGAGCUGACAGAGGGAGUUCACCCGCUCACCCUCCCUGAUACGAACCACCGACCUGUUGGUCAGCAGUUCUGUUAGCACAAAGGUUUAAUCCAUUGCGCCAUCAUGGCUCCAACAUCUCUCAUGAAAACUUUUCAUAUUUGUAAGAUCAUAACAUAUAUUUUCAAGUUUUUUGUUAUUUCUCAUUUCAUUUCUCAUUAAGUUUGCGUGACACACCAACACAUUGCAGCUGACACAGCAACGUUUUGCGAUACACUCUUUGGAAAGUUCUAGUCUAUGCUGUACAAUUAAUGCAUUUUGGUAUCACUUUUCAUUGCCAUGGCAUCAUGGAAGCUGUAAUUUUACAAGAUCUUUUGCUUUCUCUGCCAAAGAAUACUGGUGUCUCAUACAACUACAAAUCCCAGAAUUCCAAAGCAUUGAGCCAGGGUAGUUAAAGUGGUGUGAAACUGCACUAAUCCUACAGUGUAGAUGCACCCU
rnacentral:lncRNA from 11 species